rnacentral:rRNA from 1 species
GAUUAACGCUGGCGGCGUGCAUAACACAUGCAAGUCGAACGAUGAAACUUAGUAGACUUCUUCGGAAAGACACUAAGCGGAUUAGUGGCGAACGUGUGAGUAACGCGUGAGUAACCUGCCUUACACAAGGGGAUAGCCUUUGGAAACGAAGAAUAAUACCCUAUAAAACUAUAAAAGCACAUGCUAUAAUGGUCAAAGUGAUAGCGGUGUAAGAUGGACUUGCGUCUGAUUAGCUAGUUGGUGAGAUAAAAGCUCACCAAGGCAACGAUCAGUAGCCGGCUUGAGAGAGUGUACGGCCACAUUGGGACUGAGACACGGCCCAGACUCCUACGGGAGGCAGCAGUGGGGAAUUUUGCACAAUGGGGGAAACCCUGAUGCAGCGACGCCGCGUGAUUUAGAAGGCCUUCGGGUUGUAAAAAUCUUUUGUAUAGGAAGAAAAUGACAGUACUAUACGAAUAAGGUCCGGCUAAUUACGUG